AAAUUAUCUGUUGAAAAGUAAAUUUUGGACACAUUAAAAAUUUUAAAUAAGGCCUUCUUCCAAGGGCCAUUUACAGCAAUAGAAGUCUUUUCAGUGCCUGCAGUGGGUAUUGGAUCAGGGCCUAAAUUCCCAUCUUGUAAAUGUGGAAAGUUUGCAGCAUGGUUGAACAGUACUGUAUUGAAAACCAUGUGUGUAUAUAAGUCUUACACCCCACUUUUUAAAUUAUAGGAAUUUUGAGAAAAGCUUGCUACAGUAAUAGUGAGCUGCAAAUAAUCUGGAAACUCUUCAGAAAUGCCAAUAUAAGAAGCAAAGAAUCCAUUAAUAAUUGUAAGUGUAAAGCAGAGGCCAUUUCAGAGGAUGAUAAUGUGAUGAUGGUCAUCUCAGAUGCUGCAAGCCUUGGUCAUCUUAAAGAAACUUUGAAGAUUUAUCAGAUGCCCGUGGAAGACCUGAAUGGCAGUUUAUCUUUAAAUGCUAUUUGGAAUGAGAAGGAAUCUUCUCUGACAAGUUACUUGCAGUGCAGGAGCUGUGUCCUUCAGUCCAUUUCUCCAAGUCCUUUGAUAGGAGCUGAGGUUACUCAUUUCAGUAAUGAAGUGCAGUCAUGGGUCUGGCUGCUUCCCUCAUCUGUUCACUAUUGCUUGCUGCUACAGAAUCCUCCAGCACUGAAACCAGGCAAUUUAGAUUCUAUUUUAUCUUAGAAGAGUUUUGCUGAUCCGUGCCAUGUGUUCAUCAGGACUAAUAAGACAGAUAAGUAAAGGACUUUAAUUAUUUCCUGCCAACCCCAACCAAGCUGGUGUUCAAUGUUUGUGUGUGAGGGAUGGGAAGGAGGUACCUGGGUACAAAUUCUGGCCCCAGUCAGCUCAGUGGGGGUUCUGCCAUUUCACUGCAACAAAGCAAAGGCUUCACCACACGUUUCAAAGAAAUAUUUCCCUGGGAUUUUCUGAAUGCUGGUAAAUGUGUUUUUAUCUUCCUUUCCACUUUUGAAUGUUUGUUUACCUUACAUGGCCCUUCAAAGUAAUUUAAUAUAAGAACUUCUCAUCAAUUCCAUUUUAUUCAAAGUUUGAAUUGCCUCAUUUUUUAAUUUCUUGUGCAUUUAAAGACCCCACAUGGCAAUGUCUGGGCUGAAAACAUGUUAGGGGAGCAUUGGAAUAUUUUGUCUUGCUGUGAUUUCAACUGAAUUAAAAGAAACCCAGAAAUGAAAACAUUUCCAUUUGUUUAUGUAACUAAAAAAGCCCUAUAAAAAUGAGCCUGAGCUAGCAAGAAUAUCCUUUCAUGAACACAAACCCUUUUUGCAAGCAGACCACAAACACAGGGACAUACACACACACAUCAACAUCCUAUCUCCCCUAUCAAUGACAAAUCAGAGCAGGUAAAAAUCCUCCCACUAUUUGUCUUAGGAAAUAUCCACCACUUUUACAGGGGAAUUUGGAAAGUAUUUCUGGGGAAGGUGAAAUGCUGCAGCACAAAGCACAGCCAUGGGCACCGCCAGCCAACAGAGGGCUGCUGUAAAACAACCUUUUAAUAAGGCAUUAAAAUGCCAUCGACCUGGACACAUAAAAAAAAAAAACCUAUGAAAACAAAUGCCUUUCAAAUAAUUAGGAUCUUAUGCCUGAGAGCAGUGUUGAUCUCCAUGCAGAGAUUUUUCCUGCUGAAAUCAGCCCAGGUCUGGGGCAGGAAUUAGCAGUGCAUAAAUUGGCACAGCAGCCCUGAGCCAUCCUGCAGCCCUCCCAGCUCCUCCCUUCUGCCCCUAAAUUCUUCUUUCUGUCCCCUAAAGUCUCCUUUCUGCCCCUAAAGUCUCCCUUCUGCCCCUAAAGUCUCCUUUCUGCCCCUAAAUUCUCCUUUCUGCCCCUAAAGUCUCCUUUUUGUCCCUAAAUUCUCCCUUCUGCCCCUAAAGUCUCCCUUCUGCCCCUAAAGUCUCCCUUCUGCCCCUAAAGUCUCCUUUCUGCCCCUGAAGUCUCCUUUCUGUCCCUAAAUUCUUCUUUCUGUCCCCUAAAGUCUCCUCUCUGCCUCUAAAUUCUCCUUUCUGCCCCUAAAUUCUCAUUUCUGUCCCCUCAAGGCUUCUUUCUGCCCCUGAAGUCUCCUUUUUGUCCCCUAAAGUGUUAUUUCUGUCUCCUAAAUUCUCCUUUCUUUUCCCAAAUUCUCAUUUCUGUCCCUAAAUUCUUCUUUCUGCCUCUAAAUUCUCAUUUCUGUCCCUAAAUUCUCCUUUCUGUCCCCUAAAGUCUCAUUUCUGUCCCUAAAGUGUUAUUUCUUCUAAAUUCUCCUUUCUGUCCUUAAAUUCUCAUUUCUGCCCCUAAAUUCUCCUUUCUGUUCCCUAAAUUCUUCUUUCUGCCUCUAAAUUCUUCUUUCUGUUUCUUAAAUUCUCCUUUCUGCCCCUAAAUUCUCCUUCCUGUCCCCUAAACUCUCCUUUCUGUCCCUAGAGCAGCUUGGAAUACUCUUGGCUUAGAAUGCCAGAACAUUUUUUUAAUUGAAUCUCAGGUUUUUAUCAUGAGCAUAUGAAAGGUUGAAUUUGCUGAUUUUUAGGGUGAGCCAGAAAUAGCUGCAAACCCCAUUUCUGGUCUUAAAAAUCUGCUGUGGGCUUGUUUUCACUUCAAGUAAUGUGCUUGCAUUCAUUUAAA
rnacentral:lncRNA from 12 species